rnacentral:rRNA from 1 species
CGGCGGACGGGUGAGUAACACGUGGAUAACCUACCUAUAAGACUGGGAUAACUUCGGGAAACCGGAGCUAAUACCGGAUAAUAUAUUGAACCGCACGGUUCAAUAGUGAAAGACGGUUUUGCUGUCACUUAUAGAUGGAUCCGCGCCGCAUUAGCUAGUUGGUAAGGUAACGGCUUACCAAGGCAACGAUGCGUAGCCGACCUGAGAGGGUGAUCGGCCACACUGGAACUGAGACACGGUCCAG